rnacentral:rRNA from 1 species
AAUGAACGUUGGCGGCGUGGAUUAGGCAUGCAAGUCGAGCGAGAACCCCGCAAGGGGGGCAGCGGCAAACGGGGUAGUAAUGUGUCGGAACGUGCCCUCUGGACGGGGAUAGCGGCGGGAAACUGCCGGUAAUACCCGAUGAUCUCGAGAGAGCAAAGGUGUGAUUCCGCCGGAGGAGCGGCCGACAUGGUAUUAGCUAGUUGGCGGGGUAACGGCCCACCAAGGCUGUGAUGCCUAGGGGAUGUGAGAGCAUGAUCCCCACCAUUGGGACUGAGACACUGCCCAGACACCUACGGGUGGCUGCAGUCGAGAAUCUUCGUCAAUGGGCGAAAGCCGGAACGAGCGACGCCGCGUGCGGGAUGAAGGCCCUUGGGUUGUAAACCGCUGUCGAGGGGGAUGAAGGCUUGAAGGUACUCCUUCAAGUUUGACAGAGCCCUGGAGGAAGCACGGGCUAAGUUCGUGCCAGCAGCCGCCGUAAGAC